rnacentral:sRNA from 1 species
AUGCAGCCCCACUUGAGUGGAAAUCCUUUUUUGUGGCUGGAUAAGCCAAGGCAAAAAGAUUGGGAACGGAAGGCGGAAUAGCU